UACGUAGGGGGCAAGCGUUGUCCGGAAUCAUUGGGCGUAAAGAGCGUGUAGGCGGCUUUACAGGUCCGUUGUGAAAACUCGAGGCUCAACCUCGAGACGUCGGUUGAAACCGUAUGGCUAGAGUCCGGAAGAGGAGAGUGGAAUUCCCGGUGUAGCGGUGAAAUGCGCAGAUAUCGGGAAGAACACCCGUGGCGAAGGCGGCUCUCUGGGACGGUACUGACGCUGAGACGCGAAAGCGUGGGGAGCGAACAGG
rnacentral:rRNA from 1 species